rnacentral:rRNA from 1 species
UACGAAGGGGGCAAGCGUUGUUCGGAAUUACUGGGCGUAAAGGGCGCGUAGGCGGCUUAUCAAGUCAGGCGUGAAAUUCCCGGGCUCAACCUGGGGGCUGCGCUUGAUACUGGCGAUCUCGAGUCCGGGAGAGGUGAGUGGAACUGCGAGUGUAGAGGUGAAAUUCGUAGAUAUUCGCAAGAACACCAGUGGCGAAGGCGGCUCACUGGCCCGGUACUGACGCUGAGGUGCGAAAGCGUGGGGAGCAAACAGG